AAGGGCUUAGCUUAAUUAAAGCGAUUGUUUUGCGUUCAGUUGAUGUGAGGUAGAUUCUUGCAGUCCUUA
rnacentral:tRNA from 2 species